CGGCUGUCACAUUCGUGGUGUGCCGAAUGCCCGUCUCUCGUAGCGACGACGACGGCAGCGUAACGCGUUAAUGAAAAUGGCAACGCGCCGCGAUGCCACGCGGCAUCCGCAACGGAGUACGAUCGCAAAUUGCGUAGCUUUAUCAAUCUAAAAUAACACGACACGGAACAAUAGUAACGAUGUGAGACUUACCAGCACCUCGACGAUCAACGGAAGGAUCAUGUUGCGGUACGCUUGACAUAUAGAGAUGGAUGGAUCCAGAAUACGAUAGUCAAAAGGUUUCACAGAGUGUCUUGAUAAGUACAUGAAUGUUUUCAAUUUGCAAGCAGAGGAUAGCGAAAGCAUUAAUUCGCAAAGCUAAUGACAUAGCACACGCAGCAACUUAGAAAACACAGGAAAAACCUUCAAGAUAAGCCAAUAAAGAAGCAAAAUAUCUUUGGGAGAAAUAUUUGGUACAUUAAUUGUUUUUACCUACUCAUCAAGCUUUGUUAAUAAAAGGAAUUGUGAGAAAAAGAGCUUAGAUGGCAUGGGGUGGCAUUAGUAUUUUGUUUACAUUCGAAUACAUCCAUUCUCUCUGUCUAUUAUCUAAACAUUACGUACAUUUUUAUCACAUCAAGAAAAAUAAUUUAAUAUAUUUUUUUUAGAAAGCUGCACCUUCUCAGUGAUAUUUAGUUUCUUAAUAUACGCAUGUGUAUCUAAAAAUAACUUUAAAGAAAAAAAGAAAAGAUUUGCUUUCUCUAUAAAUUUGUUUUCUGUCAGUUACAUUGGUCAAUCACUCUUAUAUAGUUUUUAUGUAUUUAUAUGACGAUAGAAAUAUAUAGAAAAAAAAAUAAAAUAGAUCUAAUAUAUGUA